UAUAAGUACAACCAUAAGUUUCCGCGUCCAACUUUGUUCGUUCGUCUUAUUUAAAAAAAUUUUAUAAUUAAUAUUUUUAUUGUUAUGAGAUGAUAAAACAUGGAUAGUACUUUACUCGUGACUUAUGUUUUUAAUUUUUUUCAAAAAAUUUUCAAAUAAGACGGACGGUCAAAAUUGGGCGUGAAAAACCAUGGCUGCACUUAUA
rfam:Oryza sativa (indica cultivar-group) chromosome 2, whole genome shotgun sequence.